rnacentral:rRNA from 1 species
UACGUAGGGUCCGAGCGUUGUCCGGAGUUACUGGGCGUAAAGCGCGCGCAGGCGGCGGUGCUGGCCCGGCGUGAAAGCCCCCGGCUUAACCGUGGGUCUGCGGUGGAUACGGGCAGACUAGAGGCAGGUAGGGGAGAAUGGAAUUCCCGGUGUAGCGGUGAAAUGCGCAGAUAUCGGGAGGAACACCGGUGGCGAAGGCGGUUCUCUGGGCCUGUACUGACGCUGAGGAGCGAAAGCGUGGGGAGCGAACAGG